rnacentral:lncRNA from 1 species
GGGGGGGGUGGGUAGGAACCAGGAUGUUGGGGAAAAUUAUUUCAAUGUGUUGAGUCUGAAGCUUUUUGGAAAGCAAUGUAGAUGUGAUCUCGUUUGCUCUGAAUCGAAUUCCACAGAAACCGCUGUGCCGAAUACUGCAAAUCCUUAACUUUCAUAAACGCCGGCACCGAACUCAACGCAAAACUACCCAAGUGCCAAAGACCAUUUCUGGGAAGCUCAUUCCAUGAGACCUUCGCAUUUUUCCAAAUCAAAGGCUUCCCUUCGGAUCUAAUUAUUUCUCCUCUACAGGGCUGCGGGAGGGGGAGGGGAUGUGAGACUAGGGCAACAGAUUAAGAUUGAAAGUCCUUUCUCGCAGCUUCAUUUUCGCCCCCACACUGUCCCAAAUGCUUAGAACCCUCCUCGUCAGAAUGGGAACGGUGCCCCCGCUUGUCCUAAAAGACACAGACCAGGUCCGUGAACUUGACCCAGGCGCCCACGCCUCUUUUCCCCGAAGGUCAGACAAAGGCAGAAGGGUUGGCUGGAUUCUUUCCCGGGCCGCGAAGGCCUGGGGAUCGCAAGUUGAGGAGGAGAAGACCGCAAACCCCUUUGGUUCAAGCAAGCUCUGCGGCAGCCGGUGUCGCUGAGCCGCGGGGGACUCCCGGCUGGAAAGGAAGCCCUGCGCUCGAAGCGCCCCACGCCAGACGGAGUGGCCCCUGCGCCUCCCCGCGCGCCGGCGCGCCCUGUUCACCUUCGACUGGAUGUUACCGAGCCAGGGAGAGACCCGGAGAUCGAGUGUUUGAUCUUCCCUUGCUCCAGGAUCCUGAAUUCUUUAAACACACUCGCACGCGCUCGCACACAAACACACACACACACACACACACACACACACACGCACACGCAGCACUACUACCGUCUGAGCAGGCCGCUCCUCGCAGCCUCCGCAGUCGGCGGGUCGCCUGGAAAGACGCGCCGGUUUCCCGGGUCGGAUGGCUCUCCAGGCCGCUAUUUCCUCCGCCACCGAGUAGGGAGACGCCCCAUUUGCGAAGUUUAAGUUUCCAGGUCCUGGGAAGGCAGCUGGGAAACCCGCGGGGCUCGGCAGCCGCCCUGGUAGCAGCCAGGGAUCGGAUAGCGCGGCGGGCGACAGCCCCCCGGAUAACCCCGCCGAGGGAGGGGCGCUUGUAAAACCGAGCGGCGACGGCCUCGUUACGACCGACUCGAACAUUCUCUAAUAAAUCAUCGGCCUUAGCUAGUAUUCGUUUGUGUACGCAUCUGUUUAUCCUGAUUAUUAAAAUAAAUUAAGGAUUAGACUGCCUAGAAUAAGGUAAACGAACAUGAAAUGCCAAGGAGGAAAACAGAAAAAGUUACACCAUGUCGAUCCCGACCAAAACAUUGGCCUGACUUGCCGGAUGGCCUCAAGAAUCCGGCUUUUAGCUGCAGGCCCGGCGGGUGUUCCCCGGAAGGCAAGGAUUGGAAGCUCUUUGAUAAAGCCGCGCGAGGCCCGGUUUCUCGCGUUUCGGGUCGCUCCACAGCCCCCUCCGCCCUUCCCCUCCACCCCUCCGCGUCUCGGCCUGGCUCCGGAGGGGUGAAGGAAUGUUUAUAGCCUGACUCAAGUUCAAUGACAAAAACCUGCCUGGAAUGGGAGGUGCGGCGAGCUUCAGCCAUCAACAUGACAAAGGCUGGACGCAGGUCUCGGGCGGGGGCGACGGGCUGGGCCCACCUAGAGAUGGGGAGCUGAGGGCCCACAGGAUGGGUACGGACCCCGCAGACCAAGAGCUGCCUCUCUGCCCUCAGCCUGGGGUCUGCGGAGUUUGGCGAGUAGUGCGGGUGUGUGCCCGCCUGGAUGAGGGUAAGGCGAUCAGCCUCUGAGUGGGCAAGGGGACGUCUGAUUACUGCCCAGGCUUCGCCUGGGGGUCCAGGACCCUGUGAGAUGCCCCUGCUCUCUGCCUGGCCAGCUCUAGCUCACCCGGAGUAAGGAUCCGCACCGUCCUUCUAUCCACCGCGACCUGCAUUUUCUGGCCUCCUCCGAGUUUUGUUCACAUCUUCCCUCCCGGAUUUGAUAUUCCAAGCAUCUUCUCCAGGGAAGACUCCCAGAAGCCUUGCUUGUCUGUGUGUGUGUGUAUCUUUCUCUUUCCCUGUUCCCCGUCCUGUUCCCCAUUUGUUCUGAUUGUAGUCAUUUGGUCAUGGAAUAAAAUCCUCUGGCCUCAGGUCACAUAUGGGGAAGCUGCAGACCCAAGAUUUACCAG